UGAGUGGUAGUCCAGUUGGUUAUGCACGUGUGUUUGAGUCGUUGUGGUCGCGGGUUCGAAUCCCGGUCACGCAU
rnacentral:tRNA from 1 species